rnacentral:rRNA from 1 species
AUUGAACGCUGGCGGCAUGCCUUACACAUGCAAGUCGAACGGCAGCAUGGAGAGCUUGCUCUCUGAUGGUGAGUGGCGAACGGGUGAGUAAUACAUCGGAACGUACCUUAUCGUGGGGGAUAACGCAGCGAAAGUUGCGCUAAUACCGCAUACGCCCUGAGGGGGAAAGCGGGGGACCGUACGGCCUCGCGCGAUUAGAGCGGCCGAUGUCUGAUUAGCUUGUUGGUGAGGUAAAAGCUCACCAAGGUGAUGAUCAGUAGCUGGUCUGAGAGGACGAUCAGCCACACUGGGACUGAGACACGGCCCAGACUCCUACGGGAGGCAGCAGUGGGGAAUGUUGGACAAUGGGGGCAACCCUGAUCCGGCUAUGCCGCGUGAGUGAAGAAGGCCUUCGGGUUGUAAAGCUCUUUUGUCAGGGAAGAAACAGCAGCUCUAACACAGUCUGCGAAUGACGGUACCUGAAGAAUAAGCACCGGCUAACUACGUGCCAGCAGCCGCGGUAA